rnacentral:lncRNA from 1 species
UUUUGUCUAUCUCGAUAGGACAUGGGUAAGUUUCAUACUUUAUAAUACAAAAAGACACAUAAAUACUGCAAAUAUAAGUACAUACCCUUAUUAUGAAGACUACAGAACAUAUACAAAGAUUCUGAACAUAUAUUAUACACGCAUAUUGCAUUUGAGUAUGUGUAUUAAAUAUGCUUCUAUAUAUGUUAUUUACCUAAAUACGAACAUUCACGAAGGUGUUCAUAUGUGUCUUAGGAUGAUGCGGUAAUAGAAGUGUGUUGGGGAAAAUCACGGAACAUGGUAGUUGGAGGCACAUGGCCAGUUUCAUCACUCAAGUUCUCUUCUUCUUCUCCUAAUGCUUCAUCUUCUUCGUCCUCAUCCACAUCCCACAGAAACCUUGCGUAUGAAGCUUGCACAUAACUGCACCAUUCCAUCAUCACAAUAUUGUUAUCAUCAUGAAGUCUUUUUCCUUAAUUUUCAAAAUUGGUUCAAUUAUAGAAAGGUACUUUGCAAAAUUACCAAUCUUCCGG